UCUGUAGCAAGGUUAACCGAAUAGGGGAGCCGGAGGGAAACCGAGUCUUAAUUGGGCGUUAAGUUGCAGGGUAUAGACCCGAAACCCGGUGAUCUAGCCAUGGGCAGGUUGAAGGUUGGGUAACACUAACUGGAGGACCGAACCGACUAAUGUUGAAAAAUUAGCGGAUGACCUGUGGCUGGGGGUGAAAGGCCAAUCAAACCGGGAGAUAGCUGGUUCUCCCCGAAAGCUAUUUAGGUAGCGCCUCGUGAAUUCAUCUCCGGGGGUAGAGCACUGUUUCGGCUAGGGGGCCAUCCCGGCUUACCAACCCGAUGCAAACUGCGAAUACCGGAGAAUGUUAUCACGGGAGACACACGGCGGGUGCUAACGUCCGUCGUGAAGAGGGAAACAACCCAGACCGCCAGCUAAGGUCCCAAAGUCAUGGUUAAGUGGGAAACGAUGUGGGAAGGCCCAGACAGCCAGGAUGUUGGCUUAGAAGCAGCCAUCAUUUAAAGAAAGCGUAAUAGCUCACUGGUCGAGUCGGCCUGCGCGGAAGAUGUAACGGGGCUAAACCAUG
rnacentral:rRNA from 2 species